UCACCAAGUAGUGUUUCGCGGUUUCUCCCUUAUCCUUCCUGCCUCCUCCCUCCUCCAGUAGAACAAAUCUGCUAAACCCAUCAAGUGUGAACAGCUCCCACAUCUGACAUCUCUCUCACCCAAAUCCAUCUUCAUUUCCUCAAACCCAUUUUCACGUCUCACAACUUCACCAUUUUCACCGUCUCACCAUCAAAUGGACUCUGUCACCGUCAUCCGACGUCGCCAAGAACGGAUAGAGAAACAGAUCUGCCACCACGCUCGUCGCCGGUGGAGAAACAGAUCUGCCACCAUCGCCCGUCGCCGGUGUAGAAACAGAUCUGCUAGAUCAUUAUCCCAGUGUUAAAUUUGUGGGGCAAGAUUGCAAGAGUUAUGGCAGAAAGAAGAUAAUGGAGUGACUGGGAUUCUCCUCUUUUAGGAUUCUGCAGAGGCUAGUACUGUGGAUCAUGCUUUGUCUCCAGGGGAGUUGCUGCUCGAGCUCUGCAUCCCUCAAGAGGAGUAGAGAGACCAAGUGGGAGAGUGACUUACACAGUUUUGCUAUAAGGACUUUGUAAAUUCCGUGUACAGGAGAUUACCAGAGGGACUUAUUACACAACACAAAUUACUUCUCUUGAGUUGACUAAAGCUGAGAUGGAGCAAGUUGAGCAAGAUUAGGAAUUCAUUGUCUUGUCAUGUCAAUUCAAAGCUACUGCAAUGGAGCUUAUCUCUAUUCUUGAGCAUGUUAAAAUUCAGGCUUAUCAUUAAUUAUUUUGUUCUCAAUGAAUUUAUGGUUAACAAGUCUUAUGAUUUAUAAUGGAAGAAAAAAAAGACAGACAAAAUGUGGUAAAUUUAAGAUAUUAUUAUUCAGUAAAAUGGAAAAAA